UCGUGUCGUAUUACAAUGUACAUGCCUAGUUUAGCCAGUUUCAUGUGAUGUCUAAGUUUUCUCUUGAAAAUGUUGCUCCUUAAAUUGUGCUAGUGAAUUGGUUGAUGACGUGGCAAAUGUGCACCUAAAUUGCAUGUGUUGAGCCUUAUUGGCUUUUAUUUUGCGUGUUUGUGUUGUGUUACAAUGUCAACAUAGAGUUUAGCUAGUUUCCUAUUAUGUCUUAAGUUUUCAGUCGCGCUUCCUUUUCUCUACCAAUUAAGCAUUGUAAGAUUUAGGGCAUGGUUUCACUUAUAACUAUAUGAAACCAUAUGAGUUCCUGCGGGAAAUAACUUGGUAUAACUUUUAGGCAUGGUUUCACUUGUAAGUAGAUGAAAUCAUGUGAGUUUGUGCGGGACCACAUAUUGGACAAAUUAAAUAUUAGUCAUUUUUCCUUGGGAAACACUGUUUAUCAUACGGCUGAUAGAAAGCAAACGUCAGACUAAUUGCUUGACGUUGAUCCUGCACCAUCUCACGGCCAACAGCUCACUCAAAAAAGCAAAAAAAAAGGUCCAAGCCUCCCAAUUAACACACCCGUCUCUAUCUCUAUCCCCAAAUCUCGCCUUUCUCGAUCCUCUUUUCCUGCCAACGCCAUCAACGACGAUCCAUCUCCGCCGCCGCGCUGGUUCUCCUCCGCCACUGCCGAGCUCCCGCUCCAUGGUCGGCUUCCGACACACCGCACCGCCAGCUCGCAAUCCUCUUCGCCCACUCUGACCUCUCUGCCAAAAUUACCCAGAUAGUGACCGCUUGUUGUAUUCCCGGUGGAGGUUAUAUUUUGGUGGUACGCAGCAGCUGAAGCCCAGUUCAUGCCUAGGAAUUUAUAGUAGGGGAGAGUGAAGGCAGUCAAAAAGAAGCUAGAAAAGAUGUUGCUUGAACUGGUUAAGGCGCACUCUGAAUUGUAAUUUUCAUUACCUUGGAAACAUAUGUAAUCAGAUGGAAAUGUAACAUUUUUAUGUUUACUCGAAACGAAUCUAUGGGUUAUUUGAUUCUAGUAGAUGUGAAUACUUUUUUA